rnacentral:rRNA from 1 species
UGGGGGAUAUUGCACAAUGGGCGAAAGCCUGAUGCAGCAACGCCGCGUGAGGGAAGAAGGUAUUCGUAUUGUAAACCUCUGUCAUUGGUGAAGAAAAAAAUGACGGUAGCCGAUGAGGAAGCCACGGCUAACUACGUGCCAGCAGCCGCGGUAAUACGUAGGUGGCAAGCGUUGUCCGGAAUUACUGGGUGUAAAGGGUGCGCAGGCGGGGAUGCAAGUUGGAUGUGAAACCUAUGGGCUUAACCCAUAGCCUGCAUCCAAAACUGUAUUUCUUGAGUGGAGUAGAGGCAGGCGGAAUUCCGAGUGUAGCGGUGAAAUGCGUAGAUAUUCGGAGGAACACCAGUGGCGAAGGCGGCCUGCUGGGCUCUAACUGACGCUGAGGCACGAAAGCAUGGGGAGCAAACAGG